CCACAGUCCAUGAGGUCACAAAGAGUCAGACAUGACUGAAGCGACCUAGCAUGCACUCACACCGUAACUAAAGGUAGAAAACCUGGAUGAUGGGCAGACAUAAGUGACCUUUCAUUUUUCUCUUGCAAUGGUAGGCGACGCUCUCAGCUCUACAUCCUCAGAACUCAAGUCGCCUGUAAUCUUCAGUUGCUACCUUUUGUGAUUUGCAGGUCUUCCAUCCCGUACAUGUUCCCGUCCUCCACAUUCAGAUUCCCUCGCAUGGAGGAACUUGGAUGGGGUCUUUGCAGAAGAAGGCUACCAGCAAAAUGUUGGACUGAAACCAUGGUAGGCAACUGAAGAAGAGAAAGAAUAUAAAUAAAUUGCAAAU
rnacentral:lncRNA from 1 species